AGACUAUACAUCCAAGAAUCUAUGAUCACAAGCUAAAUUAAGUAUUCACUACCACGUCAACGUAAUUUUGAAAUGCCCCAAACAAAAACUCCUCUUUCUAAACUGGACCGCUGCAAGGCCUCUUUGCUGCUGGUGUCCUUGCACGGCCUGCUUCUUCCACUAAUGCUUUCAGAAUGACUUCCAAAAGUUCAAACGUGAUUGCUUGAAUUCAUGACCAUGUCACCUUCCAACAUCCUAAGCACCUUUACGAAACAACACAGGUAUCAGUUAAUCAUGCAUCAGUAACCUUGUGCUAUGAACAACGGGUAACAUGAUAAAUUUAAAAGGGAAAUUAGAUGGCACUAAUUUAGCUAUUCACUACAAUCUAGAGGUAGACAAUGUCAGAUGGAUUGUUUAGUUUGUAUGCGUAUAAAUGCAGCAUAGACUGAUGCUACUUUUUGUGGAUAAAUUGUAAUUUAUGACAAAUAUUGGCUAUGAAAUAACUAAAGGGUUAGUCGAAGAAUGCAAAUAGCUGACAUAAUGAUUUGCAGCUAAACCAUAUGAGCCUAUCUCCUGCUUCAUCUUUCUGGCAAGGGCUUAUACAUACGCAAGUUGAUAUUAAUUUAUUACUAUAAUUCUGAAGGAUCAUUCUGCAGUUCAAUGAAAAACUUGGCAGCUCUGUUGGAAAACAGUAUUUUUGCACUCACAAGAAAAAUGGGCAAAUUGAAUACUCACAUGAAAACCAAUUUCUCAAGUAAACAUUUUGUAACACAUUCAUGAUUGUUCAAGAAAUCAUAUCAUUACCCUUGUUACAUCAAAAAGCAAGAGAAAGCUUGCUUCCUGGUGCAGUUUGUGUAACCAAGAACAACACCAGGGUCAAACAUGGCUUUAGUCUCAG
rnacentral:misc_RNA from 1 species